UCCUUGUGCAAUUGUUUAUUUCUCAUGAACCAAGGGGCCUUUAGGGCUAUUCUUAGGAAUUUGUUUUGGAGGGUUUGUAAUUUUUUAAUUUUUGUUUUGGAGGCAGAUGCCCAUACUGGGCAUGCAUAGGUUACUAAAGGUCUUAUUAUUGCUGUGUAAAGGAAUAGAGAGCAUUUCAUUUGUAUGGUAGAGCUAUGAUUUAAUAGGGGGUACAGUAUUCGUAGCCUAGUGUAUCCUUGGUUUAAUUUUUUGUUGAUGUGUAUUUUCCAGCUUAGUUUUUCGUCAAGGUGCAGGCCCAAAUAUUUUACUGUGUCGUCUUUGUU